rnacentral:rRNA from 1 species
GACGAACGCUGGCGGCGUGCCUAAUACAUGCAAGUCGACCUUAGUGGCGAACGGGUGAGUAACCAGUUGGUAAACUGCCCAUCAGCAGGGGAUAACACUUGGAAACAGGUGCUAAUACCUUAUACUGAUGGAUGGACGCUCGGUGCAUUAGCUAGUGGGGGAGGUAACGGCUCACCAAGGCCACGAUGCCUAGCCGGCCUGAGAGGGUGAUCUGCAACAUUGGGACGGGGACCCGGCCCAAACUCCUACGGGAGGCAGCAGUAGGGAAUCUUCGGCAAUGGACGAAAGUCUGACCUAGCAACGCCGCGUGAGUGAAGAAGGUUUUCGGAUCGUAAAACUCUGUUGUUAGAGAAGCGGUAUCUAACCAGAAAGCCACGGCUAACUACGUGCCAGCAGCCGCGGUAAUAC